UACGUAGGGGGCAAGCGUUAUCCGGAUUUACUGGGUGUAAAGGGAGCGUAGGUGGCAUGGCAAGCCAGAUGUGAAAGCCCGGGGCUCAACCCCGGCCCGCCGUUGAAACUGGCAGUCUCGAGUUGGAGAGAAGUAUGCGGAAUGCGCGGUGUAGCGGUGAAAUGCAUAGAUAUCACGCAGAACCCCGAUUGCGAAGGCAGCAUACCGGUGCACAACUGACGCUCAGGCACGAAAGCGUGGGUAUCGAACAGG
rnacentral:rRNA from 1 species